rnacentral:lncRNA from 1 species
CCCAAUCUAGGUUUCUUUCUGGAAGUUUCAGUAUAUAUAAGAGAUUGUGGCGUCGAUAACAAGUCAGGGGGUCUCCGGGCUGUCCACGAGGUAGGGAGGCGCGCCCAGGGGGGUGGGCGCUCCCUCCACCCUCGUGGGCAGCCCAAGACUCUUCUGGCCCAACUCUUUUACUCCAUGUCCUUCUUCUGGUCCAAAAAUAAGUUCCGUGAAGUUUCUGGUCAAUUGGACUCCGUUUGGUUUUCCUGUUCUGCGAAACUCAAAAACAAGAAAAAAAAACAAAAACUGGCACUGGGCUCUAGGUUAAUGGGUUAGUCCCAAAAAUCAUAUAAAAUAGCAUAUAAAUGCAUAUAAAGCAUACAAGGUUGAUAAUAUAAUAGCAUGGAACAAUAAAAAAUUAUAGAUACGUUGGAGACGUAUCAAGCAUCCCCAAGAUUAAUUCUUGCUCGUCCUCGAGUAGGUAAAUGAUAAAAACAGAAUUUUUGAUGUGGAAUGCUACCUAUCAUAUUUAUACAUGUAAUUGUAUUUAUUGUGGCAAGAAUAUUCAGAUCCGAAAGAUUCUAGACAAAAGUUUAAUAUUGACAUAAAAAUAAUAAUACUUCAAGCAUACUAACAAAGUAAUCAUGUCAUCUCAAAAUAACAUGGCCAAAGUAAGCUAUCCCUACAAAAUCAUAUAGUCUGGAUAUGCUCUAUCUUCAUCACACAAAAUAUUUAAAUCAUGCACAACCCCGAUGACAAGCCAAGAAAUUGUUUCAUACUUUUGAUGUUCUCAAACUUUUUCAAUCUUCACGCAAUACAUGAGCGUGAGCCAUGGAUAUAACACGAUAGGUGGAAUAGAUUGGUGGUUGUGGAGAAGACAAAAAGGAGAAGAUAGUCUCACAUCAACUAGGCAUAUCAACGGGAUAUGGAGAUGCCCAUCAAUAGAUAUCAAUGUGAGUGAGUAGGGAUUGCCAUGCAACAGAUGCACUAGAGCUAUAAGUGUAUGAAAGCUCAAAAAGAAACUAAGUGGGUGUUCAUCCAACUCGCUUGCUCACGAAGACCUAGGGCAUUUUGAGGAAGCCCAUCAUUGAAAUAUACAAGCCAAGUUCUAUAAUGUAAAAUUCCCACUAGUAUAUGAAAGUGACAAAAUAGGAGACUCUCUAUCAUGAAGAUCAUGGUGCUACUUUGAAGCACAAUUGUGGUAAAAGGAUACUACCACUGCCCCUUCUCUCUUUUUCUCUCAUUUUUUCUUUUUUCUUUUUUUGGGCCUUCUCCCUUUUUUAUGGCCUUUUUUCUUUUUUUCUUUUUCGUCCGGAGUCUCAUCCCGACUUGUGGGGGAAUCAUAGUCUCCAUCAUCCUUUCCUCACUUGGGACAAUGCUCUAAUAAUGAUGAUCAUCACACUUUAUUUGCUUACGACUCAAAAAUUACAACUCAAUUCUUAGAACAAAAUAUGACUCUAUGUGAAUGCCUCCGGCGGUGUACCGGGAUAUGCAAUGACUCAUGAGUGACAUGUAUGUAAGAAUUAUGAACGGUGGCUUUGCCACAAAUACGAUGUCAACUACAUGAUCAUGCAAAGCAAUAUGACAAUGAUGGAGCGUGUCAUAAUAAAUGGAAUGGUGGAAAAUUGCAUGGCAAUAUAACUCAGAAUGUCUAUGGAAAUGCCAUAAUAGGUAGGUAUGAUGGCUGUUUUGAGGAAGGUAUAUGGUGAGUUUAAGGUAUUGGCGAAAGUUGCGCAGUGCUAGAGAGGCUAGCAAUGGUGGGAGGGUGAGAGUGCGUAUAAUCCAUGGACUCAGCAUUAGUCAUAAAGAACUCACAUACUUAUUGCAAAAUUUUAUUAGUUAUGGAAACGAAGUACUACGUGCAUGCUCCUAGGGGGAUAGAUUGGUAGGAAAAUAACAUCGCUCGCCCCCCGACCGCCACUCAUAAGGAAGACAAUCAAUAAAUAAAUCAUGCUCCGACUUCAUCACAUAACGGUUCACCAUACGUGCAUGCUACGGGAAUCACAAACUUUAACACAAGUAUCUCUCAAAUUCACAACUACUCAACUAGCAUGACUCUAAUAUCACCAUCUUCAUAUCUCAAAACAAUCAUCAAGUAUCAAACUUCUCAUAGUAUUCAAUGCACUUUAUAUGAAAGUUUUUAUUAUAUCCCUCUUGGAUGCCUAUCAUAUUAGGACUAAUUUCAUAACCAAAGCAAAUUACCAUGCUGUUCUAAGAGACUCUCAAAAUAAUAUAAGUGAAGCAUGAGAGUUCAUCUAUUUCUUCAAAAUAAAACCACCGCCAUGCUCUAAAAGGAUAUAAGUGAAUCACUAGAGCAAAUGGCAAACUACUCCGAAAGAUAUAAGUGAAGAUCAAUGAGUAGUCGAAUAAUUAUGUAACUAUGUGAAGACUCUCUAAAAUUUAAGAAUUUCAGAUCUUGGUAUUUUAUUCAAACAGCAAGCAAAGCAAAAGAAAAUAAAAUGACGCUCCAAGCAAAACACAUAUCAUGUGGUGAAUAAAAAUAUAGCUCCAAGUAAAGUUACCGAUGAACGAAGAUGAAAGAGGGGAUGCCAUCUGGGGCAUCCCCAAGCUUAGGCUCUUGGUUGUCCUUGAAUAUUACCUUGGUGUUCCUUGGGAAUCCCCAAGCUUAGGCUCUUGCCACUCCUUAUUCCAUAAUCCAUCGAAUCUUUACCCAAAACUUGAAAACUUCACAACACAAAACUCAACAGAAAACUCGUAAGCUCCGUUAGUAUAAGAAAAUAAAUCACCACUUAGGGACUGUUGUGAACUCAUUCUAAAUUCAUAUUGGUGUAAUAUCUACUAUAUUCCAACUUCUCUAUGGUUCAUACCCUCCGAUACUACUCAUAGAUUCCUCAAAAUAAGCAAACAACACAUAGAAAACGGAUUCUGUCAAAAACAGAACAGACUGUAGUAAUCUGUAUCACACAUAUACUUAUGGAACUCAAACAAUUCUGAAAUAAAUUGUUGUACAUGAGGAAUUUGUCUAUUAAUCAUCUUCAAAAAGAAUCAGAUUAAUAGCACUCUCAAGUAAAAAAUGGUAGCUAAUCUCGUGAGCGCUAAAGUUUCUAUUUUUUACAGCAAGAUCACAAAGACUUCACCCAAGUCUUCCCAAAGGUUCUACUUGGCACAAACACUAAUUAAAACAUAAAACCACAUCUAAACAAAGGCUAGAUGAAUUAUUUAUUACUAAAUAGGAACAAAAAGCAAGUAACAAAAAUAAAAUUGUGUUGCCUCCCAACAAGCGCUAUCGUUUAACGCCCCUAGCUAGGCAUGAUGAUUUAAAUGAUGCUCACAUAAAAGAUAAGAAUUGAAACAUAAAGAGAGCAUCAUGAAGAAUAUGACUAGCACAUUUAAGUCUAACCCAAUUCCUAUGCAUAGGGAUUUUGUGAGCAAACAACUUGUGGGAAUAAGAAUCAACUUGCAUAGGAAGGUAAAACAAGCAUAACUUCAAAACUUUAAGCGCAUAGAGAGGAAACUUGAUAUUGUUGCAAUUCCUACACGCAUAUGUUCCUCCCUCAUAAUAAUUUUCAGUAGCAUCAUGAAUGAAUUCAACAAUAUAACCAUCACAUAAAGCAUUCUUUUCAUGAUCUACAAGCAUAGAAAAUUUACUACUCACCACAUAAGCAAAAUUCUUCUCAUUCAUAAUAGUGGGAGCAAACUCAACAAAAUAACUAUCAUGUGAGGCAUAACCCAAUUAAAAACUAAAAUCAUGAUGACAAGUUUCAUGGUUAUCAUUAUUCUUUUAUAGCAUACAUGUCAUCACAAUAAUCAUCAUAGAUAGCAACUUUGUUCUCAUAAUCAAUUGGAACCUCUUCCAAAAUAGUGGAUUCAUCAUUAAAUAAAGCCACGACCUCUCCAAAUCCACUUUCAUCAAUAUAAUCAUCAUAAAUAGGAGGCAUGCUUUCAACAUAAUAAAUUUUCUCAUCAAAACUUGGGGGACAAAAAAUAUCAUCUUCAUCAAACAUAGCUUCCCCAAGCUUGUGGCUUUGCAUAUCAUUAGCAUCAUGGAUAUUCAAGGAAUUCGUACUAACAACAUUGCAAUCAUGCUCAUCAUUAAAAUAUUUAGUGCCAAACAUUCUAAUGCAUUCUUCUUCUAACACUUUGGCACAAUUAUCGGAAUCCUUAUUUUCACGAAAGACAUUAAAAAGAUGAAGCAUAUGAGGCAACCUUAAUUCCAUUUUCUGUAGUUUUCUUUUAUAGACUAAACUAGUGAUCAAACAAGAAACUAAAAGAUUCGAUUGAAAGAUCUAAAGAUAUACCUUCAAGCGAUAACCUCCCCGGCAACGGCGCCAGAAAAGAGCUUGAUGUCUACUACACAACCUUCUUCUUGUAGACGUUGUUGGGCCUCCAAGUGCAGAGGUUUGUAGGACAACAUCAAAUUUCCCUCAAGUGGAUGACCCAAGGUUUAUCAAUCCGUGGGAGGCGUAGGAUGAAGAUGGUCUCUCUCAAACAACCCUGCAACCAAAUAACAAAGAGUCUCUUGUGUCCCUAACACACCCAAUACAACGGUAAAUUGUAUAGGUGCACUAGUUCAGCGAAGAGAUGGUGAUACAAGUGCAAUACGGAUGGUAGAUAUAGGUUUUUGUAAUCUGAAAAUAUAAAAACAGCAAGGUAACUAAUGAUAAAAGUAAGUGAAAACGGUAUUGCAAUGCGUUGAAACAAGGCCUAGGGUUCAUACUUUCACUAGUGCAAGUUCUCUCAACAAUAAUAACAUAGUUGGAUCAUAUAACUAUCCCUCAACAUGCAACAAAGAUUCACUCCAAAGUAACUAAUAGCGGAGAACAAACGAAGAGAUUACUGUAGGGUACGAAACCACCUCAAAGUUAUCCUUUCUGAUUGAUCUAUUCAAGAGUCCAUAGUAAAAUAACACGAAGCUAUUCUUUCCGUUCAAUCUAUCCUAGAGUUUGUACUAUAAUAACACCUUAAGACACAAAUCAACCAAAACCCUAAUGUCACCUAGAUACUCCAAUGUCACCUCAAGUAUUCAUGGGUAUGAUUAUACGAUAUGCAUCACAAAAUCUCAGAUUCAUCUAUUCAACCAACACAAAGAACUUCAAAGAGUUCCCCAAAGUUUCUACCGGAGAGUCAAGACGAAAAUGUGUGCCAACCCCUAUGCAUAAGUUCACGAGGUCACGGAACUCGCAAGUUGAUCACCAAAACAUACAUCAAGUGGAUCGCAUGAUAUCCCAUUGUCACCACAGAUAAGCACAUGCAAGACAUACAUCAAGUGUUCCCAAAUCCUUGAAGAAUCAAUCCGAUAAGAUAACUUCAAAGAAAAAACUCAAUUCAUCAUAAGAGAGUAGAGGGGGAGAAACAUCAUAAGAUCCAAUUAUAGUAGCAAAGCUCGCGAUACAUCAACAUCGUUCCGAAUCAAGAACACAUAGAGCGAUCAAACACGUAGCUACUGUACAUACCCUCAGCCCCGAGGGAGAACUAUUCCCUCCUCGUCAUGAGAGCGCCGAGAUGAUGAAGAUGGCCACCGGAGAUGGAUUCCCCCCCUCCGGCAGGGUGCCGGAACGGGUCUAGAUUGGUUUUCGGUGGCUACGGAGGCUUCUGGCGGCGGAAGUCCCGAUCUAGGUUUCUUUCUGGAAGUUUUAGUAUAUAUAAGAGGUUUUGGUGUCGAGAACAAGUCAAGGGGGUCUCCGGGCUGUCCACGAGGUAGGGAGGCGCGCCCAGGGGGGUGGACGCUCCCCCCACCCACGUGGGCAGCCCGGAAAUCUUCUGGCCAACUCUUUUACUCCAUGUCCUUCUUCUGGUCCAAAAAUAAGCUCCGUGAAGUUUUAGGUCAAUUGGACUCCGUUCGGUUUUCCUUUUCUGUGAAACUCAAAAACAAGGAAAAAACAGAAACUGGCACUAGGCUCUAGGUUAAUAGGUUAGUCCCAAAAAUCAUAUAAAAUAGCAUAUAAAUGCAUAUAAAACAUCCAAGGUUGAUA